GAUAUAGCUGAAACGUAUAUGAAGCCAAGCGUUACGUUCAUUUGUGUUUUUUCCCUCAAACGAAGAGGAAAUAAGUUGUGAAAGAAGGAGUAGCCUCUCAUAGUUUCUACAAUUUCUUCAUUCUCUUUGCUCUCUUCAAUAUUGCCUCUGCAAGUUUCUGUGGUUCACGAUAUUUGAAAUAUAUACAAUGUUACCACCGUGGAAAUUGUCUUGGAAACUUGGAAAAUCUUUCAAGAGGAACAACAUUGCUAACUGAGAUUCGAGAAAGGAAAGGAAAGUAAAUCCUUGCUUCUACUUCCAGCUUUUUUAUUUAUUUCUGACGAGUAAAGUACUCUUAUUGAAGUUUGUUUAAAAGUAUGAAGAAUGUCGAGAUAUAAAUAACCAUUUUUGGAAAGGUCAGCAGAAGCAGAAUUAUCGAGUAAACGUUAUGUAACUCUUAUUGAUUAAGUAAGAGGAGAAAAGAAAGAAGGAGAAAAGUCUUUUAUCUAGGUCUUAAUAAAGUAUACUAUACUUAUCCCCAUAAAAGUAUCAAGAAUAACAACAAGAUAUAAACAGUCUUCUAGAAAUUGAAUAUCUCAUGAUCAUGUGAUAACACACAGGAGGAAAAAAUAGAGGAAAAAAACAGUGUAAAAAGAAAAGUUGCGUAGGAGUAUCGUCGCACCACAUCGUUCGCCAAUUGAUGCACGUCAUGGCGAUCGUCACGGUUUAAAGCAGGCCAUCAAAAACACGUUUGUUAUCGUAUGGAAAAAUCUGCGACGUUCCAGCUGUUCAGGUGCAUCGAAUUGUGAAUCAUCGGCGGUACGAAGUGAGGCGAGGAACAGAAAUAGAGAAAGAAGAAAAGAAAAGGAUUCGCGUAAAUAAUAAAAUAUAAUCGUUCAUUCCUCGUCGAUGGCGGGUGGAUGGUUUUAAUCGUGGACGAUAUCGAUACGAUUAUAUUUUAUACAUUUGAAACAAAUAUAAAAGACGAGGAAAAAACCAGAGAUACGAUCGUUAUGAUAUUAUUCAAUCGGUAGCCUAUUUACCUCGUUUUUUGUUCACCUUCUCUGUCUAGUAAUAAUUUUUCGAUUCGACUGGCGUGACGUUACGUUGGCAGUGUAAAAACACGAUUUUAAACACCUGCGGAUAGUUGCAUGAGUUUCGAGCGAUUCCAUUCCCUUCGAUUUAUAUUUAUGCGAUCUACGCGCGUAUCGUUAACGCAUUAUGCAGACAGCAGAUGUUACGUAAUCACGCAUAUCGUAAUUGGAAAUUAGUAACGUUAUCGCGUACCAGGAUCUUCCUGUCUUCGAUCAUUGAGUAACACUUCGUUGUCCUCGCUCCUUCCGCGGAUAACCAGCGUUUAUCACAUAGAGACAGGGAUUUGCAAAGAAUAAAAGUUGUGGAACGUUGAAAGGCGUUGAGAGAAACGCGAUGUUAUCCCGUUACUCGUUAACGCAGUUAAAAAAUUCCUAUAGGAAGAUUACGAUAAUAGAUAAACUGGGUCGAGUGUUUGUCGAGAGAUCUGAAAGAUUCUUCCGAGUUGAGCGUCUGAGAUCGCAGAGAAGAAAAUUUGGAAGCCAUCGAAUUCAUGAUGUCGAUAAAAAUCUUCAGUUGGAAUCGUUGUAUCAUAACGUAGUCUCCUUAUUGUCGAUAAGACGCCGAUAUUUUAUAUUUUAAACGAAAAAAAGGAAGAAAAUAGAGACGUAUUAUUUUAAAGAGA